GAACACUCUAAUGAUUCUAUACAAGCGAGAGGAGGAGGAAUCGGAAGGAGAGUCGGAGCUAGCGAUCCUGCGAUUGGCGGUGCGGAGGAGAUAAAACAGGGCGUUUGUGAACCACGCGAGGGAGCUAGCGAGCUGCUGGAAGAAUUUGAGAAGCCAAAGCCAGGAGAGCUGGCGGGCGCUACGAGUGUGACCUUUAUCGACAGUGGUAUCGGGAGUGGAAGGGCUGCGGAUCUCAACGGUGAGCAAAGCGUCGUCGGAUUGGUCCAGAAACUGGCGCUGUUUUUUCCACCAUUGUUGAAACUCGUGGUUUUGGUGUGGACUCAUAGAAAUGUAAAAUAGCCGAUUCAGAUUUCUUUUCUCCCUCCUUCGCUUCUCAGAUCCCUCUGCCUCUGCGUGUGUUUUGCUUGGCGGACGAGUGUCUUAACUAACUU
rnacentral:misc_RNA from 1 species